AAUGUACCAGCUGUUGUACCGGUUUCAAUUUCACUGUAAUGAAAACCAGCUUUUAGACAAAAAAAAUAAUAAAAAUGGAUCCUUGUCCAAUUUGCAUUCCAACUAAGUGAUUCAGCGUCUCCAGGUUCGUUCGAUUCUCACUCAUCUCCUUCAAUCUCCAAUUCUCUAGUUUCAAAAUUUUGACGAAUUGAAAUUGAAUUACUCUCUUUUGUUUUGAAAUUGAAGGAAUAUUGGGCUUCCGUGGAUGUGCCGUUAUGCAACCAAGUAACACUGAGGUCGGAGCUCGCACCAUGAAUCCUUGU
rnacentral:sRNA from 1 species